rnacentral:rRNA from 1 species
CCGGGAUCACUUACGCCGAGCACCGAGACGAGUCCUAUGAGGACGAAGUGACUGACACCACGCUUCCAGGAAAAGCCACUAAGCUUCAGCUUAAGAAAAACCGUACCGCAAACCGACACAGGUAGGCAGGGUGAGAAUCCCAAGGCGCUUGAGAGAACUCGGGUGAAGGAACUAGGCAAAAUGGCACCGUAACUUCGGGAGAAGGUGCGCCCUUUGGUGUGGUCACGUGCGUGACUGAGCAUCGAAGGGUCGCAGUAACCUGGCCGCUGCGACUGUUUAUCAAAAACACAGCACUCUGCAAACACGAAAGUGGACGUAUAGGGUGUGACGCCUGCCCGGUGCUGGAAGGUUAAUUGAUGGGGUCAGCCGCAAGGCGAAGCUCUUGAUCGAAGCCCCAGUAAACGGCGGCCGUAACUAUAACGGUCCUAAGGUAGCGAAAUUCCUUGUCGGGUAAGUUCCGACCUGCACGAAUGGCGUAACGACAGCGGCGCUGUCUCCACCCGAGACUCAGUGAAAUUGAAAUCGCUGUGAAGAUGCAGCGUUCCCGCGGCAAGACGGAAAGACCCCGUGAACCUUUACUAUAGCUUUACACUGAACGUUGAGUUCUUCUGUGUAGGAUAGGUGGGAGGCUAUGAAACCAGGACGCUAGUUCUGGUGGAGCCAUCCUUGAAAUACCACCCUGAAGUGCUUGACGUUCUAACCUAGGCCCGUAAUCCGGGUCAGGGACCGUGUAUGGUGGGUAGUUUGACUGGGGCGGUCUCCUCCCAAAGAGUAACGGAGGAGCACGAAGGUACGCUCAGCGCGGUCGGACAUCGCGCACUGUGUGCAAAGGCAUAAGCGUGCUUGACUGCGAGAUCGACGGAUCAAGCAGGUACGAAAGUAGGUCUUAGUGAUCCGGUGGUUCUGUAUGGAAGGGCCAUCGCUCAACGGAUAAAAGGUACUCCGGGGAUAACAGGCUGAUACCGCCCAAGAGUUCAUAUCGACGGCGGUGUUUGGCACCUCGAUGUCGGCUCAUCACAUCCUGGGGCUGUAGCCGGUCCCAAGGGUAUGGCUGUUCGCCAUUUAAAGUGGUACGCGAGCUGGGUUCAGAACGUCGUGAGACAGUUCGGUCCCUAUCUGUCGUGGGCGUUGGAGAUUUGAGGGGGGCUGCUCCUAGUACGAGAGGACCGGAGUGGACGUUCCGCUGGUGUUCGGGUUGUCAUGCCCAUGGCAUUGCCCGGUAGCUACGAACGGAAGUGAUAACCGCUGAAAGCAUCUAAGCGGGAAGCACGCCCCAAGAUGAGAUCUCCCGAGAGCUUGACUCUCCUAAAGGCACCAUCAAGACUAGGUGGUUGAUAGGUCAGGUGUGGAAGCGCAGCAAUGCGUUGAGCUAACUGAUACUAAUGAGCCGUGAGGCUUGACCG